UACGUAGGGUGCGAGCGUUAAUCGGAAUUACUGGGCGUAAAGCGUGCGCAGGCGGUUAUGUAAGACAGAUGUGAAAUCCCCGGGCUCAACUUGGGAACUGCAUUUGUGACUGCAUCGCUGGAGUGCGGCAGAGGGGGAUGGAAUUCCGCGUGUAGCAGUGAAAUGCGUAGAUAUGCGGAGGAACACCGAUGGCGAAGGCAGCCCCCUGGGAUAACACUGACGCUCAUGCACGAAAGCGUGGGGAGCAAACAGG
rnacentral:rRNA from 1 species